CUUGGAAUAGUCCAUUGCCCAUGUCCUUGGAAUGUAAUGAAUAUGCAUACAUUAGGCCUUUAAAUAUGUAGUUGCUGCUUCUCUCAGUGUGCAUGUUCAGUGGGAGCGACUCCCAUGCACCCAGUGCUGUAAUAAAGGGAAUACCUGCUUGACAUAACCCAUUGGCAUAUCAAGUUACUCGUUUUCUCAGCUUCAACAUGGACCUAGAAGUAUCUUCCAAAGAAUACCCCGCAAGUCAUCUGCGAGACUUUUUCCCUCUCACACAAUGUUAAAAAGCAACUUGAAAAAAAAUUUGGCUGCAAGUGUUGUUCAGUUGCAUCAGUGCCACUAUGACUUCUCCUCUUCAUGUGAAUAGAAAUCAUACUCCCUCCUGUACCCCAGGAAAUUCUAUGUACUCCAGUAGCAGCUACAAGAUGCAAGAAGAAAAGGAAGAUUUGUUUGAAUGUGCUAACUGCUCUCAAAGCCUUGGAUUUCAAAAUGUUACGAACAAACUGUAGAGAGAAUGCUGAGCAUUUAAUGAGCUACUGAAGGGAUCCAUACCAAACCAACUCUUACUUCAAGGCUGCUUCGAUCCACUCCAGGAGAAAACAUGUGAAUACAAGGACAGGAAUUAAGCUGCGGUUUGCGCUGUCUGACAAUCUCUGCCUCAACCUCAUUCCUGUCUCAAGUACUUCUCCUGAUUGCCAUGAUGAAUCAAGGUUUACUAAGAGAAGCCUUGUAAUGAGGUCAGCCUGCUUCCUCAGCAUAGGUGGCAAAAUCCCAUCAGGGGGAGAAAGAGUUCUGUCACACUUGAAACCACAAGAGUUCUAUUCCCCUCUCUUUGGGUCCUGAAUUUCACCACUUUCUGAACACAGCAGUCAAAUGUGCCUUUGACCUUCACAUGGAAAGGUAUUGGAACAGGUUACCCAGAGAUGCUGUGGGUUCUCCAUCUCUGGGGGCAUUCAGGGCUAGGUUGGAUGGGGCUCUGGGCAGGCCUGAUCAGGUGGGUGGCAGCUUUGCCCAUAGCAGGGAUGGGGUGGAACUGGAUAAUCUUUAAGGUUGCUUCUAGUCUAAGGCAUGCUGUGAUUCUUUUUGAUUCCACUAUCAGUGAGUCCCUUCUUCUUGUUCCAGCAGAGCACUUCUCCUUGUUGGCUUCUUUUUCAAUUGGACUAGGAAGCUAUUUUCAGCACUACCCAGCUUCAUCGUUUAUGGAUGUGUUUUUUUUUUUAUUCUCCAGAAAACAUCAUAAUGGUUGAACUCCCUCAUGAAUACUAGAGUCUGCGAAUGUGAUGCUGCUUCUAUCUGUUUUUAGAAGGCCUUGAACAAUUUUUCUUCCUACUCAUUUUUUCUUCAGCCUAAUAUCUAGAGAUUUUCAAGUUUGUAUCUUCCAGAUUUGUCAAUCAUUCAACUUCUCAUUGAUAAGUUUUGAAAUAAAGAUGCCUUAAGGGACUUGUUUUACCCUUAUAUAACAGGAAUUUUGUAUCUGUUUUAAUGUCUCAUUUGUCAGAACCAAUGCUGUGUUGUUUGUAACUCACUGGUAUGAUCAGUCUGACUUAGAUUAAACACUAUCUAGGCAAUUUCAUCCUUAUCUUUGUGUUGCAAUAGUCUCAACUUUGGAAUUCUUUCACAAGAUAGAUAAUUUUCUGACUAAGCAUUUUGUUCAUCCUAAAAGGUUGUGCAAGUGACAUAGAAGAAACUUAAAAUGUCAGCUUAGUGUAUUACCUAGAUAUACCUUAUUUGGUAAUUUAUUAUUCCCUUUCUGAACUGAUCCCAAAUUUGUGUGAAAGUAACUGUAAAUGGUUUAGAUAAGAUUGCUCUAAACAUUGUGCAAGGCCCCAGGGUUGCUUAGAGGUUCAAAAGCCACCAUAUUUCAGACCUCUGUCCCUGCUUUGCAUCUUCUCUUCUUGGAGACUUGUAAUUACUUCCACUUGGUACUUAAAUGAUGAUCUGCUGGCUGUUUUGGUUAAAGAGCUAAUCCAGUGUGUCCAGUUAGUCAAAUCCCUCUUGACAGGCAGAGGUUUGAUUUUUUUCUGAGUACUGUUUCUUGAGCUUCUCCACUGGAGUGCUGCCAUAAGCACCCUGUGAAAGAACUCCUAUUCAAGCAUGCUGACUUGACUUGGCAGCUGUAUAACUUUCUGGAACUUCAGUCAUAAUCCUCAGAUGAGAUCUUAUGUUAAUCAAUGAUAAGAAGAAAAUGUGAACAUUUCUAAAUGUAGCAAAAUGUCUUCAUGUCCCUCUGAGGCAUUCUGUGUUUUCUUAAUCCAGUGGGCCUGACUCAUAUCAAUCAAGAGGCUGAAAGUCAGUUUUUCUAACAGUAUUUACAAAUGUUUUUCCUUCCCAAGUCUUACAUAGAAUUUUAUUUUCAAUCUAGAAAAAAAAUCUUGAUUAGACCUGUGACUCAUAAUGAAAAUAUUUCCAGUGGUUAAGCAGUAUGCCAGAAGCACUUGGUUCUGCUCUGUGUCUUCUCCUUAAAAAUCCUUUCUUUGAGAAGGAGAAACAAGCAUCAGAUAUCUCUCUUCUCCUAGGUACUUCUUCCAGAACAGUACAGGUAUGUUUCACUCACAUUCUUAGGAAGAGGAUCCAAACAGAUCUGUUGUGCCUAAUAUAUGCAAAGAAGUACUUCAGGAGACGCAAGGUGUCAAACCAAUGUGUACCAGCUGUGCUCUUAAAUUUUCCAUGCAUAUGCUGACCAGCUCAUUCAGGAUACUUUUCUAUGUACAAUUUUUAUAUAUGUGUUCUCUACUUGUCUGAAAGGAAUGAAUACGAGCAUUACAGAUCUAUCGUUACAAACCAGGAGAAGAAAUGACAGACUGGGAGAAGAAGACAUGGACUUAACAGGUCCAGGUAGAUGAAAGACUUAACAUGAGCCAGCAGUGUGUGCUUGCAGCCCAUAGGCCAACUGUAUCUUGGGCUACAUUAAAAGAUGGGUGGCCAGCAUAGUGACAGAGAGUAUUGUUCCCCUCUACUCUGCCCUUGUGGCGCCCCAUCUUGAGUACUGCAGACAGUCUGGGGGCUCCAGCACAGGAAAGAUGUGAAACUUUUGGAGAGGGUCCAGAGGAGGGCCACCAGGAUCAUCAGAGGGCUGGACCACCUCUCCUAUGAAGGCAGGCUGAGGGAGCUGGGCAUGUCCUCAUUGAGGACUUCCAAUAUUUAAAGGGAGACCACAGACAGGAGGAAAAUCAACUUUUGAUGCUGGUAGAUAGUGAUAAGACAAGGGAAAAUGAUUUUAAAUCAAAGGAGGAGGGAUUUAGUUUACAUAUCAGGGGGAAGUUUUUCACUGAGAAGGUAGUGAGUUGUCUCUCAGGUUGCCCAGAGAGGUGGUGGAUAACCUGUCCCUGUUAUGAAAUAGCAAGCAACAUAAUGUUUUCUGUAGCUAGAGAAAACAUAGUGAAUACUCCCUUGUUAGUGACUUUAUAAUAAUGAGCAAGCUGGCAGAUCAUAUGUGAUCCCUACUUCAUAAUAUGUAGCUAUAACUAAGCCAAAUUCCUAGGUAUACCAUGGAAGACAAGACAAUGGACAACUUUUAAAGAGAAAUUAUUCAGUGUUCAGCUCAUUGCAAUUCAGAGUGAAACUUAACAUCAUAACUCUACUAUAUGGCAAAGUAAUGGUUGUGACACAAAGGGAAUGAUUUACUGAGAGAUAUUAAAAAGCUCUUCUCUUUU
ensembl:lncRNA